rnacentral:rRNA from 1 species
CAGCCGCCGCGGGAAUACGGAGGGCGCGAGCGUUACCCGGAUUUACUGGGCGUAAAGGGCGUGUAGGCGGCCUGGGGCGUCCCAUGUGAAAGGCCACGGCUCAACCGUGGAGGAGCGUGGGAUACGCUCAGGCUAGAGGGUGGGAGAGGGUGGUGGAAUUCCCGGAGUAGCGGUGAAAUGCGCAGAUACCGGGAGGAACGCCGAUGGCGAAGGCAGCCACCUGGUCCACUUCUGACGCUGAGGCGCGAAAGCGUGGGGAGCAAACCGGAUUAGAGACCCGAGUAGUCCCUGUCUCUUAUAU